AACGAACGCUGGCGGCAUGCCUAACACAUGCAAGUCGAACGAGACCUUCGGGUCUAGUGGCGUACGGGUGCGUAACGCGUGGGAACCUGCCCUUAGGUUCGGAAUAACUCCCCGAAAGGGGUGCUAAUACCGGAUAAUGUCUUCGGACCAAAGAUUUAUCGCCUUUGGAUGGGCCCGCGUUGGAUUAGCUAGUUGGUAGGGUAAAAGCCUACCAAGGCAACGAUCCAUAGCUGGUCUGAGAGGAUGAUCAGCCACACGGGGACUGAGACACGGCCCAGACUCCUACGGGAGGCAGCAGUGGGGAAUAUUGGACAAUGGGCGAAAGCCUGAUCCAGCAAUGCCGGGUGAGUGAUGAAGGCCUUAGGGUUGUAAAGCUCUUUUACCCGGGAUGAUAAUGACAGUACCGGGAGAAUAAGCGCCGGCUAACUCCGUG
rnacentral:rRNA from 1 species